GAUGAACGCUGGCGGCGUGCUUAACACAUGCAAGUCGAACGGUGAAGGCGGAGCUUGCUCUGCUGGAUCAGUGGCGAACGGGUGAGUAACACGUGAGCAAUCUGCCCCUGACUCUGGGAUAAGCGCUGGAAACGGCGUCUAAUACUGGAUACGAGCUGCGAAGGCAUCUUCAUCAGCUGGAAAGAACUUCGGUCAGGGAUGAGCUCGCGGCCUAUCAGCUUGUUGGUGAGGUAACGGCUCACCAAGGCGUCGACGGGUAGCCGGCCUGAGAGGGUGACCGGCCACACUGGGACUGAGACACGGCCCAGACUCGUACGGGAGGCAGCAGUGGGGAAUAUUGCACAAUGGGCGAAAGCCUGAUGCAGCAACGCCGCGUGAGGGACGAAGGCCUUCGGGUUGUAAACCUCUUUUAGCAGGGAAGAAGCGAAAGUGACGGUACCUGAAGAAAAAGCGCCGGCUAACUACGUG
rnacentral:rRNA from 1 species